CCUACGGGAGGCAGCAGUGGGGAAUAUUGGGCAAUGGGCGCAAGCCUGACCCAGCAACGCCGCGUGAAGGAAGAAGGCUCUCGGGUUGUAAACCUCUUUUAAGAGGGAAGAGCAGAAGACGGUACCUCUUGAAUAAGCCAUGGCUAACUACGUGCCAGCAGCCGCGGUAAUACGUAGGUGGCAAGCGUUGUCCGGAUUUACUGGGUGUAAAGGGCGUGUAGCCGGGCUGACAAGUCAGAUGUGAAAUCCCGUGGCUCAACCACGGAACUGCAAUUGAAACUGUCGGUCUUGAGUAUCGGAGAGGCAGGCGGAAUUCGUGGUGUAGCGGUGAAAUGCGUAGAUAUUAGGAAGAACACCAGUGGCGAAGGCAGCCUGUUGGACGGUGACUGACGCUGAGGCUCGAAAGCGUGGGGAGCAAACAGGAUUAGAUACCCCAGUAGUC
rnacentral:rRNA from 1 species